rnacentral:rRNA from 1 species
UACGUAGGGUGCAAGCGUUGUCCGGAAUUAUUGGGCGUAAAGAGCUCGUAGGCGGCUUGUCGCGUCGACUGUGAAAACUCGGGGCUCAACUCCGAGCUUGCAGUCGAUACGGGCAGGCUAGAGUUCGGUAGGGGAGACUGGAAUUCCUGGUGUAGCGGUGAAAUGCGCAGAUAUCAGGAGGAACACCGGUGGCGAAGGCGGUUCUCUGGGCAUGAUCUGACGCUGAGGAGCGAAAGUGUGGGGAGCGAACAGG